AUAGUAAAAAAAUUGUUAUUGAAGGAUUUGUGCCUUAUCUGUGGGUCGUACAGGUAUUCCCCCAACCGGUACCCAUAUAAGCUUCAAGCGGCAACUGUUGUGCGUUCAUCUAGACCACCACCUCCAAUCUCACCGUCCACCUACAUGGUUGUUGCGCGAGCUUUGUAGCCGGUAAUUCAUAUGGUGGUAACAAUUUUUAACAUUAUGGAGCAGAUAGCAACUAUAGGUCUGAAACAAGUAAUGAUUUAUUGUACCCUGAUACGACUUUACCCUAAUUCUGUGGAAGUAAAU
rnacentral:lncRNA from 1 species